CAAAUGGCACGUAAAGGAAAAGAACUACCCAACAACUCAACAACAAUUGCUGGCCACAAUUAACAUGGUUGAACAAACACUGAAACAAGGUAGUAGAUACACACACCAUAUGACCCAUUUAAAAUCAAAACACACAUCAGGCAUAAUGCAGUAACAGUGCUAGACAAAUUAAAAUUUACAACGACAUUCUCGGCUCAGGAUCUUACCAAAUGUCGAAGCGCCAAUAUCGCCUAGAGCUCGUUGAGUUAUUCGUACCGUAUUUGCGCCGCUGAGGUUGUCAGUUGAAAAACAACCGCUAGUUGCGCUGCUGUUGGUGUGAAUCUCGAAAACAGUGGGGAAACGGAACCGCGAUUAGUGUCGUCCGCGCACGGUGCGUUGUUGCAAAUGGAAGAAAAAAAACGGUGUGAGGUAGUGUGUGUUGUUGUUGACGGCGGAUAAAGUGGCGGAGUCGAAGUGCAGGUGAGAGUUUAUGGUGGAGGACGGUGUUUCGCGGCGGUGAUGAAGCUUCAAACUCCUCCAACUCUUCAAACCAGGUUUGUCUUUGAUUUUAAGGGUUUGAAUAGGCAUCUUUGGGUUCCAAAAGAGUACCUCUGUAAACAUCCUUUUUGAUGCUCAGAAAUUGGAAUUGUCCUUUUUGAUGCUAGAAUUCGUUAACAGUGAAAAAUUGGUUAACGCAGGAAUGACUUUGGGGUAGGACUAGUUGCUGCGGAUUGUUGGUUGUUGCUGCAGCAAGCUCGGGUUCACUUUCACCCCAAUGACCAAAUAUGUUACCAACAGCAUCUUCUCUCACAGAUAGACCAACAAUUCCCAUGAGGUUUUUUACAUACCUUCGAGCUAAAACAUCCUUGUGAGUAUACAAAACCCUGGUUACUGCUGGAGCAGGUGCGUCAAAAAAUCCUGAAAGUUGAUCAAUCUGGUUCUGCAAACCCUGAGCGUCAACAGAUAGUGAAGAGAUGGAAGUGGGUUCGUGAAUUGAGUAACCGGAAAAUUGUUCUAUGGUUGAGAUGAUUGAAGGGUCGUGUUCAUGUUGAUGGGCUGAAAUUGAGGUGCAUAAGCAGAAGAGUAGAAUGACAUAGUGAUGAACCAUUCUGAGUGUGUUGCUCAAAUUCAUCAAACACUCCCUAGUCAUCCAUAGUGCAUUUGAGAUAUAAGAUGCCUUUGCACGUGUAGUCACGAGUUUCAAUCUGGGCAACAUAAGGAUUAAAACAUAAUCCAAGAGAAAGUACAAACUCUUGUGCAAUGUCAGGCCACUUAACAUCAAGGUACGCAGGAAAAUGCGCGUUGUAAUUUCCAACCGCACCGGCAAAUUUCCCCAAAACCUCAACUUGAGACAGUUCCUUCUUUUCUCUGCUUAGUCUCACAGCAAAUAUCGCCAUUUCCUUCCCUAAAGUUAUUGGUGAAGCUGGUUGUUCAUGAGUGCGAGAAAGCAUAGAGAUAUGAGCAUUGUCUUUGGCCAUUGUACAAAGUUUUGAUUAUUUUAUUCAUGGCAGGAAACAUAACAGAAUCCAUUGCUUCUUUCAACAUCAAGGCAUGAGCAAGAUUAUUUAUAUCCUCAGACGUGCAAGCAAAGUGAAAAAAUUCAAGCACCUUAGCAAUUUCAGCAUUUGAUUGGCACUUGUGUUUCAAGAAAUACUCUACAGCUUUAACAUCGUGAUUUGUAAUCUUCUCAAAUUUGUUAUGCAAGCGGCACGUGUUAUUCAACCUUCAACGAUGCAAUUGAUUCUAUCCAGCCUUCCAUCAACAAUCUACCAAUAUUCAACAGUCGACGUCGUUUGCAGUUGGUUUCAGUCCAAGAACCGAAAAAUCAAACUUUCCAAUAUGUCAAGGAUGAGGUAAGUUUCUACUGGUUUGUAAUUUCCCAAGUUUCUACUGGUUUAUUCUUUGGCAGGUAGGCUUCACUUUGUUGCAUCAAACCGCUGCUAAGGACUCAUUGCAGACCGCUGAUCAAUGUCAUAUAGAGACAGCAGAAUUUCGGCACCAAUCAAAGUAAUAAUGAGCCACUCUAGGAAAUCCGGUUAACGAGAGUUGAUCUUGCUGUAUGUUUCAGGACGAACACCGGGUCUUUUGUCAACCAAAGAGCCAUCAACCUUUUGAGCUACUAAUUGCCAUGAAACAAUUGCACUGUAAUGUUCAACAACGUGAAGUCAUUGGAGAUUCCAAAAGCAAUUUUCGGUUUUUUUUUUAUCACAACUCAGGUUUUACUCGGUUGGCAAAGAAACCUGGAGCAGAUUCAACUCCCAAUGCCUCUGCACCACUAAGCCACAUCGUCUCACUCAUAAACCACUUGCGAGAGGGUUUUUGCUUACGUUUUUUAGACAUACGGUUCUUAGUCACAUGCCAAUUCAUGUGACUGCUGUGCUCAUCUUGGGAUUUAAAACGGAGGCCACAAGUUGUGCAUUGAUGGUGGAGGGAAAAGGCUGAAGAGUUUUUUCUGUUGUGGAACUCAGAUAGACUUCUUUCAUUUGAAUUGCUCAUGAUGUAUGCCAUGAAGUUUGAUGUAUGUAGCAUAAAAUGUAUAUGAAUAAUCAAUGAGGCAUAAUGUAAUGCUUAUGUAAAAUGCUUGUUUUAAUAUGUAAAAUGUGCUCAUGAUAUAUAAAUAUUAAUGGAAUGAAGUGUAUGAGAAUGUAGCAUUACGUACCA